rnacentral:rRNA from 1 species
CGGGGGAGCAAGCGUUGUUCGGAUUUACUGGGCGUAAAGGGCGCGUAGGCGGCGCAACAAGUCACUUGUGAAAUCUCCGGGCUUAACCCGGAGCGGCCAAGUGAUACUGUCGUGCUAGAGUGCGGAAGGGGCUACUGGAAUUCUCGGUGUAGCGGUGAAAUGCGUAGAUAUCGAGAGGAACACCUGCGGCGAAGGCGGGUAGCUGGGCCGACACUGACGCUGAGGCGCGAAAGCCAGGGGAGCGAACGGGAUUAGAUACCCCGGUAGUCCUGGCCUUAAACGAUGGAUGCUUGGUGUCCGAGGUUACAUAGUCCUCGGGUGCCGGCGCUAACGCAUUAAGCAUCCCGCCUGGGGAGUACGGUCGCAAGACUG